UACGAAGGGGGCUAGCGUUGCUCGGAAUCACUGGGCGUAAAGGGUGCGUAGGUGGCGAGGUAAGUCGGAUGUGAAAUCUCGGAGCUCAACUCCGAAAUGGCAUUGGAAACUACCUUGCUCGAGGGUUGGAGGGGGGACUGGAAUACUUGGUGUAGCAGUGAAAUGCGUAGAUAUCAAGUGGAACACCAGUGGCGAAGGCGAGUCCCUGGACAACUCCUGACACUGAGGCACGAAAGCUAGGGGAGCAAAAGGG
rnacentral:rRNA from 1 species